GAUCAUGGCUCAGGACGAACGCUGGCGGCGUGCUUAACACAUGCAAGUCGAACGAGAAUCUAAUGACGGAGUUUUCGGACAACUGAUUUAGAGGACAGUGGCGGACGGGUGAGUAACGCGUGAGGAACCUGCCUUUCAGAGGGGGACAACAGUUGGAAACGACUGCUAAUACCGCAUGACACAUAGGUGUCGCAUGGCACUUAUGUCAAAGAUUUAUCG
rnacentral:rRNA from 1 species